UAAUACAUGCAAGUCGAACGCGUCUCCGUUAAUGAUUUUAGGUGCUUGCACUUGAAAGAUUUAACAUUGAGACGAGUGGCGAACUGGUGAGUAACACGUGGGUAACCUGCCCUUGAAGUAGGGGAUAACACUUGGAAACAGGUGCUAAUACCGUAUAACAACCAAAACCACCUGGUUUUGGUUUAAAAGACGGCUUCGGCUGUCACUUUAGGAUGGACCCGCGGCGUAUUAGCUUGUUGGUAAGGUAACGGCCUACCAAGGCGAUGAUACGUAGCCGACCUGAGAGGGUAAUCGGCCACAUUGGGACUGAGACACGGCCCAAACUCCUACGGGAGGCAGCAGUAGGGAAUCUUCCACAAUGGACGAAAGUCUGAUGGAGCAACGCCGCGUGAGUGAUGAAGGGUUUCGGCUCGUAAAACUCUGUUGUUGGAGAAGAACAGGUGUCAGAGUAACUGUUGACAUCUUGACGGUAUCCAACCAGAAAGCCACGGCUAACUACGUGCCAGCAGCCGCGGUAAUACGUAGGUGGCAAGCGUUGUCCGGAUUUAUUGGGCGUAAAGCGAGCGCAGGCGGUUUUUUAGGUCUGAUGUGAAAGCCUUCGGCUUAACCGGAGAAGUGCAUCGGAAACCGGGAGACUUGAGUGCAGAAGAGGACAGUGGAACUCCAUGUGUAGCGGUGAAAUGCGUAGAUAUAUGGAAGAACACCAGUGGCGAAGGCGGCUGUCUGGUCUGUAACUGACGCUGAGGCUCGAAAGCAUG
rnacentral:rRNA from 1 species